AUCACCUUGAAGCCUUGUUAAAAGGCACAUUCUGAUUCCCUGGAUCUAGGGUGGGGCCUGAGAGUCUGCAUUUCUAGCAAGCUCCCAGGUGAUGCUGA
rnacentral:pre_miRNA from 1 species